rnacentral:rRNA from 1 species
UCCUACGGGAGGCAGCAGUGGGGAAUAUUGGACAAUGGGGGAAACCCUGAUGCAGCGACGCCGCGUGAGCGAUGAAGCCCUUCGGGGUGUAAAGCUCUUUCGUCAGGGAAGAUAGUGACGGUACCUGGAGAAGCAGCUGCGGCUAACUACGUGCCAGCAGCCGCGGUAAUACGUAGGCAGCAAGCGUUGUUCGGAGUUACUGGGCGUAAAGGGUGUGUAGGCGGUUCUUUAAGUUUGGUGUGAAAUCUCCCGGCUCAACCGGGAGGGUGCGCCGAAUACUGAGGGACUAGAGUGCGGGAGAGGAAAGUGGAAUUCCUGGUGUAGCGGUGAAAUGAGUAGAUAUCAGGAGGAACACCGGUGGUGUAGACGGCUUUCUGGACCGUAACUGACGCUGAAACACGAAAGUGUGGGUAGCAAACAGGAUUAGAUACCCUGGUAGUCCACGCCCUAAACGAUGCAUAUUUGGUGUGGGUCAUUCAGUUGAUCCGUGCCGGAGCUAACGCGUUAAAUAUGCCGCCUGGGGAGUACAGUCGCAAGGCUGAAACUCAAAGGAAUUGACGGGGGCCCGCACAAGCGGUGGAGCAUGUGGUUCAAUUCGACGCAACGCGAAGACCUUACCUGGGCUCGAACGGCUUCUCAACGCCGGUAGAAAUACUGGUACCCCGCAAGGGGGUGGAGUCGAGGUGCUGCAUGGCUGUCGUCAGCUCGUGUCGUGAGAUGUUGGGUUAAGUCCCGCAACGAGCGCAACCCUUGUCCUGUGUUGCCAUCAUUCAGUUGGGAACUCGCAGGAGACCGCCAGCGAUAAGCUGGAGGAAGGUGGGGAUGACGUCAAGUCCUCAUGGCCUUCAUGUCCCGGGCUACACACGUGCUACAAUGGACGGUACAAACCGCAGCAAACCCGCGAGGGGGAGCCAAUCGGAAAAAACCGUUCUCAGUUCGGAUUGCAGGCUGCAACUCGCCUGCAUGAAGCUGGAGUAGCUAGUAUGGCAGAUCAGCACGCUGCCGUUUACCCAUUUCAGGCCUUUACACACCGC